rnacentral:rRNA from 1 species
UACGUAGGGUGCGAGCGUUGUCCGGAAUUACUGGGCGUAAAGAGCUCGUAGGUGGUUUGUCGCGUCUGCUGUGAAAACGCGAGGCUCAACCUCGCGCCUGCAGUGGGUACGGGCAGACUGGAGUGCGGUAGGGGAGAUUGGAAUUCCUGGUGUAGCGGUGGAAUGCGCAGAUAUCAGGAGGAACACCGAUGGCGAAGGCGGUUCUCUGGGCAUGUCCUGACGCUGAGGAGCGAAAGUGUGGGGAGCGAACAGG